CUACCCACGCAUGACUCAGAGGACAUUGCAUCAGCAGCUCUCCACUUCUCUAAUACCCAGGCUCCCCACAUGCUCGCAAUCCACUUUCCAGCAGUCGGUCCUUCUCAAGAGAAGCUCUACUGUCUUCCCUGCAGCUUUACCAUCUCCUGCGCACAUCAUUCACCAUUAAGAACUUUUUGUUUAUGCCCCCCCUCUUUUUGUUUUUACCCUCAGCGUCAUUUGCGGGCUGAAAACUGAGGUCGGUAACUAGGAGAGGAUUCUUUCUACGGUGACUGCAAACAAAACCCUGAUCCACCACCCUGGUCCUGGCUGAAAAGAACUGUAGGAAAGGUAUUGAUUUGUGCUGAUUCCUCUUUUAUUCUAAGCUUCAAAUUAAUAUCAUGUUGUUGUCUUCCCAAACUUUCAUUAGUAGAUUCCUGGGCUCCUAGCUGGUUAUGCCUCCAUGAUUAGACAUAACUUCGGGGUCUGGGUGGGGGUGGGGGUGGGGUUGAUCUCUGAAACCAAGCUCUCUAGAUGAAGGCAGUAGAAAGAGGCAAUACCUCAGCAGGCAUCUGAGGUCUCCUGGUAUUCUCCAGCACUCUUCAAAUAGGCAAAGUGCAUGCUCUGCGUGUUUUUUUGGUUUGUUUGUUUGUUUUUGUUUUCUUUUUUAUCACUUUAAGGGACUUUUUUAUUGAAUAUAUAUAUUCAAUAUAUAUAUAUAUCCAUCCUAUCCCACCCCCUCCCCUUCUUCUAUAAGGGUGUUUCCCUCCCCACCCCCCCUUCUGACAUUCCUCUACACUGGGGGAUCCAACCUUGGCAGGACCAAGGGCUUCUCCUUCCAUUGGUGCUCGACAAGGUUACCCUCUGCUACAUUUGCAGUUUUUAUGCUAGGGUCAGUCCAUGUAUAGUCUUGGGGUAGUGGUUUAGUCCCUGGGAGCUCUGGUUGGUUGGCAUUGUUGUUCUUAUGGGGUUGUAAGCCCCUUCAGCUCUUUCAAUCCUUUCUCUAAUUCCUCCAAGAGGAGUCCCAUUCUCAGUUCAGUGGUUAACGGAUAGCAUUUGCCUCUGUAUUUGAUAUGCUCUGGCUGUGUCUCUCAGGAGAGAUCUAUAUCUGACUCUUUCAGCAUGCACUUCUUAGCUUCAUAUAUCUUAUCUAGUUUUGGUGGCUGUAUGUGUAUGGGACAGAUGUGGGACAGGCUCUGAAUGGCUGUUCCUUCAGUCUCUGCUCUAAACUUUGCCUCCAUAGUCCCUCCUAUGAAUAUUUUUGUUCCCCUUUUAAGAAGGAGUGAAGUGGUCUUCCUUCUUCUAGAGCGUCAUGUAGUCUGUGGAUUGUACCUUGGGUAAUUCGAGCUUUUGGGCUAAUGUCCACUUAUCAGUGAGUGCAUACCAUGUGUGUUUUUCUGUGAUUGGGUUACCUCACCCAGGAUGAUAUUUUCUAGUUCAAUCCAUUGGCCUAUGAAUUUCAUGAAGUCAUUGUUUUUGAUAGCUGAAUAGUACUUCAUUGUGUAGAUGUACCACAUUUUCUGUAUCCAUUCCUCCAUUGAAGGGCAUCUAGGUUCUUUUCAGCUUCUGGCUAUUAUAAAUAAGGCUGCUAUGAACAUAGUAGAGCAUGUGCCUUUGUUAUAUGUUGGGGCAUCUUUUGGGUAUAUGCACAGGAGAGGUAUAGCUGGGUCCUUAGGUAGUGCAAUGUCCUAUUUUCUGAGGAAACUCCAGACUGAUUUCCAGAGUGGUUUUACCAGUCUGCAAUCCCACCAACAGUGGAGGAGUGUUCCUCUUUCUCCACAUCCUUGCCAGCAUCUGUUAUCACCUGAGUUUUUGAUCUUAGCCAUUCUGACUGGUGUGAGGUAGAAUCUCAGGGUUGUUUUGAUUUGCAUUUGAAAACCUGAUGCUUUCAAGGCUUUCUGCCAUGUUAUAGUGAAUCUUGAGCCAAAAGAAGAAAGAGGGCCAGGGUUUGGCCCUUUUUUGUUUGUUUGUUUGUUUGAUUUUUUGUUUGUUUGUUUUUGCAUGGUUCUAAAGUCCUACACCCUGAAUGUGCUAUCUUUUAUGCUUCAUUUAAAUGUCCAGGAAAAUCUUUGAGAGGAGUAGCCAGCAACUCACUAAACAACAGCUUCUGUUGGAUUUACUUAUGCACUUCUAAAAUCUCAGUUAAAUACAGAUUGUGGGAAAUGCCCCAGUAUUAAGCGGGACCAUGCUUGGUGUUUAGAUAGACACAGCUUCUUCGUAAAUGCUCGCCGUGGCCUGAUCUGAGUCUUCUGUUGUUUUAAUAUCAGAUGAAAAUGUAGUGCCAAGCCUCUGACACAGCUUUCUCAAAGGAACAGUGAACAGAGGCUCCAUUUUAUGUUAAAGAAGCAAAGUCGUAAGAUUAAAAAGAAACCUCAAGAAAAUUAUGAUUAAGGAGCACAGGGAGGGGAAGGGUUUUUACGGGAUGUGGAAAGUGUAGGUGUAAAAGGCAAAAGGCAGCAAUGUGAGCGGGACUCGAGCCUUUUUCAUAAAAUACAUUUUUAGAUAUUUCUCUGUGAGAGCUAUAAAAACAUUGGAAGAAUGUUUACCAGGAGUGUAGAUCCCACAAAGACUUUGUUUCUAAGACUAGCCAAUAUUCUAUCUAAUCACAAAAUGAAUAUUUUUAAUGCAGGGGACUAUGUUCCUUUAAACAAUUUUCCCUGUAAAAAAUUAGGGAAGGCUGGGGAAGAUUGAGAUUCUCUCUUACUUUUUUUUUUAAAACAAAUUGAUGUCUUGUGUGUAAGUGACCUUGAUUGCUAUAGGGGAGAGGUCAGAAAGCUGAGAAAAUUAAAGCAUCAGAGGUAUAUUCCUUCGGAGUGAAGAGAUGGGUUAAUGAACACAGGGGAAAAGGGGGUUAAAAGCCAAGGGGAUCAGGGUUUAUAGCAAUUUACAAUGGAAGGAGAAUCUAAACCACAUUUUAGCAAUAGCAAACUUAUAGAGACAUAAUACUUUUGUAACUGGAAAGUACUUAGAGUUGCUAGUUUGAUGUUUGCAGCUUUAAUGUAAGUUUGAUGAAUUACUGGCUUUGGAUGACUUAAUUCAAGUUGCCCCCUAUCCAGUGCCAGUUCCAGAGCCUGUCUCCAGAGGGAAUCAGUGAUGUUGCAGAAGGAGGUAUGGUGUUCAGGACUGAAAUAAGUGAAAAAGAUCAGCCAGCGUACAAAUGAUUCAGUUAAUUCUACAUCACACUUCACACACACACACACACACACACACACACACACACACACACACAUUUCACAAGUUGCCUACAUACUUUUUUUUUGCUUGUUUGUCUGUUUGUUUCAGACAAGAUCUCCCUCUGUGGUCCUGGCUGUCCUGAAACUUCCUUUGAAAACCGUGCUGCUCUCAAACUCACAGAAAUCUUCCUCCCUCUGCCUCCCAAGUGCUGGUAUUAAAGGCAGGCACCAUCAUGCUCAGCCUUGACUGUAUACAUUUUGAAAUGAAUCCACAUGUUUGAUUCUUUUUUUCACAUUUCAACAGAAGGUUGAAUGCAACAUAAAGACACAGAAUAUAUUUCUGGAAGAAAGAGGAGGGAGACGUUUUCGAAGUAGGUUAGUUCGGAACUUAUAGGGACGUGUUUUGCAGACCCAUGACUGUGCAGUUUCCCAUCUGGUCCUGAUUCGUGAUCAGCAGAUGCAACACAUGUGACUCACCCACACAACACGUCAUAUUCUUGACCCAGAUCAUGAACAUUAUGAGCAUAAUUUGCCAAGCUCCAGUCUCUCAUCCUUCCUCCAGAGGAAUCUUGUAUGCAGACACUGCAGUCAGCUCUUGGGGUUUCUCCUUAAUCCUUAGUUUCCAGUUUGGCCAGGUAACUAGGCUUACUGUCCCAACUGAAUAUAGAGCUAGAGUCCUAAGGGUGUUGCAUAACUGACUGGAAGUCACACCGAUAAGAUGUAGGAAGCUAGGUUUUGGAUCUAUGGGAUCUAAUUCCGUAGCUUACCCUGCAAUCCCUGAGCCCUGCCCAGCACACAUUCAUCAAUGUACACAGUGGGGUUGGAAGUGCAACGUGGUGCUUUGGAGCGGAGCAAAUGUAAAUGGCCCACCUGGGGACUGAACCCAUGACCUUGGCAUGAUUAGCACAGGGCUAACAGAUGAGUGAAUACCAGAAGCAUUUUAUCUAGAGUUCUCUCAUAUGAGUUUUUUUUGACGGCAGGAUAUUCAAGUCAAUGGGAAGCUAUUAAACCUAUUGAAGCACGUAACGCAGACAAAAAAGCACAUCGGUCCUUUUUCCAGAUUUCUCUAAGAAUUCAACUUACAUGUAUAAACAAGUUUUCAUAUCUCUCUCUCUCUCUCUCUCUCUCUCUCUCCUGUGUGUGUGUGUAAACGCACUAACUGAAGACAUGAAAUGUGGACUUGUCACAAGCGUGCACUGAUGCAUGCAUGUCUUUCUGUACUUAAAUGAUUAAUAUGCUAAGCAUGUGGUCUGUGUGUAUAAUGACCAAGGCCUCACUGGUUUUGCAUUUAAAUGUGACUCUUCAACUUCAAAUUUGUUAUCCAGAAAACUCCGAAUCUGGAAAGAUUUGAUGUAUUUCAAGUAGAAAUGUGUUUUGUCUAAAUGGAGGGUAGUAUGUUCCAAGACUCCUAGGGGAUGCCUGGCUGUGCAUAGCAGCCUGAAGUAGAACUAGACCACACUCAGAACAGAUUUGCCCUUUGUGCUCUGUAAAGGACACUGCACAGAGGUUAGGGGAAUACAAGCAAGCAUCGCAGUGGCAGUCAGUCUGCUCAGCAAGAAAUCCACUAAGUGACCAACCCUAGUGGCAUCAAAUACACAGAGUACACUGGAUAAAGUGGUGACUUCAGUCUUCAGAGUGGUGAGUGGUGCAGCCUUCCAAAGUUAUGGAUUAAUAUUAAUUUAUUAAUAUUUAUUAAUAUUAAUAAAUAUUCCUGGGAGUCUCCAAUCCAUCUUUUCAGACGAUAGUUAGGAUUGCUGGAACUGUGGGAAGCAAAAACCUCACGUAAAAAGAGCCCACUGUGCUUUCCGGUCCUUAAGUAGAUGUCACGGAUCUCUGACUGAUUGUGCCUGCACAACUUCUUUCAGGAGUCCUGGGUGUUUCUGCAGGACACUGGGGCGUUACUAUCCCCACACUGCAAACAGAAGAUGGUAUUUUUUCAGCCGGUUUUGCUUCGUUCACUGAUUUAAGUCGUGUUUCAAUCCGGUUGAGAUUGGACGUAGCAGGGUGCUGGAAACGGCAGGGAAUUGCAAGUCCUUCCCCAAUCGAUCUGCGGUUGUUCCUAGUGAGGCUAACAGAAAUGAAGCCAAGCCCUACGUCCGGGAGAAGGGGCAAGAGUCACCGUAAGUACUUCGUGAUCCCACCAGGAACAGCAAUCCUCUUCUCGUCGCCAAGCGUUUCUGAAUCCAACUUAUUCCUCAUCAGCGAGCUCUUCCCCAAACAAGACACCGCACAUCAGCCAUUUGGGAUCUCUUCCAUCCAUGUUGUAACGCGCUCUUCCGUGCAGUUUGUACUCACUGCAGCAUGUGCCGCCGCCAAGAGCAAGGCGUUGGUAAUCUGGGCACCCACAGUUGUGAUGAGGCAUCUUCAAUGCCGUCGUCCAAAUCAAAUAUUUGGCUGUGCUUCUUCAGAUGCGAUAUCUCAUAUUGUCACUGUGGUGCUGGCAGAGCGGGGAACUUGGGCAUGGAGGGAAGGGCCCAAAAAGGGUGGAGGUGGGGAGGGGAGGAGGGGAGACGGGAUGAGGAGGGGAGGGGGAAAGAGGCCCUGCCUGUGUCGAAUCUUCCAGCCAAGCAUCCUAACGUUUGAUCAUCUCUACAAUGUUUGGACAGGAGCCAGGUAUGCAUAAUACUCGGACAGAAGAACAGUAUGCAGUGUGGGUUGGCUUUACCCCACGAGACACUCCCUAAGCUACCAUUACUGGUAUUUUAGCAUGAUUUUCUAUUGUCUACUUCUCUGCUGGCAUGCAAGGAAGUGUGGCAUGCCUGGAGAUGCUUAUAAUUUAUUGGCCUAUUUUUAUUAUUGUUGCUUGUUUGUUGCAAAGCCUCUGUAGCCCAGACUUGACUGGAAUGCACGGUCCUUCAGGGAUUCCACACACAUCCCAGCUUUGGUUCUUGGGGUAAGCCUGGAAACUAAGAGAGUAAGUAACUCAGGAGCACCACUGCCUUCUUUCUACAGAAGAAAUCCUAAGAUCUCAAAGAGCGGAGGCAAAGAGUGGACACAAUUGUUUCAAUAUCUCCAUUGACUCCUAGUCGUUUCUCUUGGCCUUCUGCCGCUGAGGCUGCCUACUGAGAAAAAAAAAACUUUACAGAUCCAUGAGGAAAUACGAUUCUAUCAGAAAGGCACUACAUUGGGGGUGGGGGAGUUUUAAGAUUGGAGAAUCUUGCAGCUGGAGGGAUGAGUCAGUAGGUCAGAGUGCUUGGUAUAUAAACAUGAGGAUCUGAGUUUGAGCCAUGUAUAAAGCCAGGCAUGUAACACUGACAUUAUGGAGAUGGAUACAGGGAGAUCUUGGGAGCUUGCUGGCUAAGCAGCCUAAGUGAAAUGUGAAGCUGGUAGUUUAGUGAAGGGCAUGUCUUAAAGGAAUAAGGAAGAAAGCAACCGAGGGAAUACUGACACCCUAUUCUGGUCUCCAUAUGUACAACAUAUACACGAGCGUGCUUAUGUGCGAGUGCGCGUGUGUGUGUGUGUGUGUGUGUGUGUGCGCGCACACACACCCCACUUUAUUGAGAUGUAGUUUUGUUUUAUGUGUGUGUUCAAGUAUAUGAACACAUGUAAUCAAGUAUGAAUGUACACAUACAUGUGUCUGGGUACCUGUGGAAGCAAAAGGAGGUCAGAGCAUUCCCUGGAGCUGGAGUUAACAGGCAGUUUCGAGUCAUAACUUGGAUUCUCUGCAAGGGCAGCAAGCACUGUUAAGUGCCAAACCAUCUUUCACACCAACUCUCCCCAUUCCUGACAAGAGGAAGAAAAGAAUAGAUCAAAGGAUAUCUCCAAUGUCUGCCAUAAAGUAAGUAGUUUUAUUACUUUUGUCUUCUUUUGGUUUGGUGGAAGUUUGGUUAUGCAAAUAUCAAUUUUCCCAAGCACCAUUGCGGUGUUCAUUCAUCUUGCUUUGCAAGCUCAGAUAGAGCAGGUUAAUUCACUCUCUUGGAGCAACUGUUCUAUCAUUACUUGGGGCUCUGUCACAUGGCAUUAGGUUCUGUUUUCUCACUUUAAAGUAAGUUAGAGGGCUCGCCCAGAAAACCUGAAGACUCUCUGAAGUGGAAACUUAAGGCUUCUUUGGAAAGUCAGUUGUGUCAGAUGGUGUUUUGCUGAGUCAAACAAAUGGAGUGUUUUCCUGAAGCAGACACAGGUGAAAGGAUGUUUUGCUAAAGCAAUCAUGUGAAAGAAAUCAUGAAGGAUUCUACACUAAUGACACACAUGUGUUGGUCAGUCUUACAAUGUGUAGCUGAGCUGUUUGUCAUGACUCCAUGGAGAGAAAUGCACUGAAAAACUUCUGGUGGUGCCCUAGUGGCUUACAGAUUAUAGAAUGUAUACAGAUUACAUUCUAUACCUCUUUAUGAACCAGAGUGGCUUUAUCCUGAGUUUUGCAGGCAAAGAGAUGAAACUAGAAAAUAUCAUCGGGAGUGAGGUAACUCAGACCCAAAAGGACAUGCAUGGUAUGUUCUCACUAAUAAGUGGAUAUUGGUAAAAAAAAAAUACAGAAUACCCAAGAUACAGUCCACAGAAUUUGAAAAGGUCACCAAACUGAAGGGCCCAAGUGAGGACGCCUCAGUCCCAUUUGGGAAGAAAGCAACCACAAGGGGGGUUGAAGGGAGGAACAGGAAAAGAAAAGGGAUUGGGGGUUGGGAGGGAGGGCUGAAACCUUGAGGGUCAGCAAAAAGAAUGGCAACAGGCGACCUGGGGAGGAAGGAGGUUGGAAGGACCCUCUGGAAUGUACCAGAGACCUGGGAAGUAAGGGAGUCUCAGGAUUCAAAGCGGGGUACCCUAGAUGAAAUGCCCUACAGUGGGGAGAGGGAACUUAUUGAACCCACUUCCAGCAGAAAUAUGGGGCAUCACAAGGGAUGGAGUUGCUAUCCCCCUGUCAAAGCUCUGACCCAUAAUUGUUCCUGUCUGAAAGAACUGCAGGGCUGGAAAUGGAGAAGAGCCUGAGGAAAAGGAGGUCCGGCAACAGGCCCAAAGGGGGAUCCAGCUCAAGGGGAGGCCCCAAGACCUGACACCAUUACUGAGGCUAUAGGGCUUUCACAAAAAGAGACCUAUCAUGAUUGUCCUCCAAAAGACCCAACAAGCAGCUGAAAGAGUCAGAUGCAGAUAUGUGCACCCAACCAAUGAACAGAAGCUGCUGACCCCUCUGGUUGAUUUAGGGGGAAACUGGAAGAAGCUGAGGAGGACCAAAAUUUCAACCUAGACUCCCGAGAUCUCUCAGACACUAGAUCACCAACCAGGCAGCAUAACCACCUGAGAUGAGGCCUCCAACACAUGUACAGCAGAGGACUCCGUGGUCUGGGUUCAGUCAGAGAAGAUGCACAUAACCGUCAACAGGCUAGAGGCCCCAGGAAGAUGGGGUGGGUGGAUGGGGACAUCCUUGUGGAGAUUUCGGGGGGUGGUAUGGGAUGUGGAACUGUCGAAGGGUGGACCAGGAGGAGAAUAAAAUCUGGAGUAUAAAAAUAAAUAAAUAAAUAGAUAAAUAAAUAAAAUUAGAAAAAAAUGGUUUUAAAAAGUCAGACCUAUAGUAGUUAAUUAUAUUAUUAAAACUAAAAAUUAAAUUUCAUAAAGGAGAUAGAAAAUAUUCAAUGGUGCACUGUAUUUCUUUUACUUUUAAUUUUUUAUGUUUACUUGUAUUAAUCCAAUAGCUCUCUGGGUAUGAAGCUGGACGUCACGUAGCUCUGUCCUGCUUGUGGAUUGUGCCCGUGAUUUAUCAGAUAAUGAAGUCUGGAAGCUUUAUAUGCUUUUUUUUGGAUUUAUUCUUUUGUAAAAUAAGUCUAUCUUCCUAUCACUUGUAGGCAAAGCUAAAAUCUUGCUUUUUAAAAUAGUUCAUUGACACUGUCGAAUUGUUUCAUCUCUAUAAACUUUGAGUCUAUGUUGCCAUUACUACCAUAAGACUUUGUGGUUGUUCAAAUAGUUGAUACUCAUGGGGGUUUUCUGAAAUGUCUGCGCUUCUUUUUCCCUUUAGAUUUGUCUUGUGUUUCUGUGGUGGGAGGCUUCCUUCAUCUAUGAAUCUUACUUCAGUGUUUCUUUGCUGAUUACUCCUUCUCUGGGUUUACCAAAAACAUCUCAUUUCUGAAAAUGUCAGUGUUUCCCCUCAUGGAUAAGGUGCAGACUUCCAGCUCCCUGGGGCUUUGCUCUUUCUUGUAGCACAGUGUUUCCUAGCUGCCCUGGAGACCCAUGGGACAGCAGAGGGCCACCUCUACCCAUCACUGCUUUAAUGUUUUGAUCCCUGGACCUCUCCACUGCCAUCCGAUUGACUGCACCUUUAUGCGUUUUCUUAUUUUCUGGGAAUUUUAAUCAGAUAGUUUUGGGUAUUUAUUUUACUUAGAGAUUUUAGAUUGGAAUAUUCUUCAUAAGUGUCAAUAUCUUUAAAUAUUCAUUCUACUUUAUUUUCUCAUUUAUUUAUGGACUCUAAUAUGCACGUGUCAACUCACUUCCAAUGUCUGUCUAUCUGUCUGUCUGUCUGUCUAUCUAAGUAUCUGUUUAUGUAAUGUAUGUAUCUUUCUACCUGUCUAUCAUGUUUUUAGCUAUGUAUCUGUUUAUUUAGCUAUUAUCUUGUUGUGGUUUGCCCUGGAGUUAUCUGUAUUUUGAUGCUAAUCCCACUACCCCCUUCUCCCCAUUGAAUUUGUAAAAUGCAGGUGAGGGGCAGAUACAGGAUAGAAGGAGGCCUGUCAUUGGAGGAGAAGGAAGGAUGGGUGGGAGAGAAGUUUGAAGGAAGAGGAGGAGACUGGAAUGGAAAGGAUGAGAGGAGAGAGAGAGGGAGAAGCCGUGGCAGGACAAUAUGGUGGGUGAUGUUAUGAUUCCACGCUGUACCUUUACAGGUGGUUACAAAUGAUCUUAAGGGAUGGAUGGUACUGGGCUUUAUAUGUUUAGGUUAUUGUGUUGUGUGUUCUUUCAUGUGUAGAUUUAAGUGUAAUGGAGUGUGAGGUGACUGGUCUGGGCCACCAUGGAGGUGGGAUGUGUUUCCACCAAGAUAUCUAGCAGAUAUCUUGGGGCACUGUGGUGUGGAACUAGCGGGAUAAAAGACACCAAUACUUUUUUUAUUUUUUAUAUUUUUACAACAACAUCAUCUACUAUCUAUCAGCUUUCUAGUCUAUGUAUCUAUAUAUCUAUCUACCUUCUAUAUGUAUAUGUAUGUAUGUAUGUAUGUUAUAUGUAUGUGUGUAUGUAUGUAUGUGUGUAUGUGUGUGUAUGUAUUAUGUGUGUAUGUAUGUAUCUUUGUGUGUAUAUGUAUGUAUGUGUGUGUAUGUGUGUGUAUGUAUUAUGUGUGUAUGUAUGUAUCUUUGUGUGUAUAUGUAUGUAUGUGUGUAUGUAUGUGUGUGUAUGUAUUAUGUGUGUAUGUAUUAUGUGUGUAUGUAUGUAUCUUUGUGUGUAUAUGUAUGUAUGUAUGUAUGUAUGUGUGUAUGUAUGUAUGCAUGUGUGUAUGUGUGUGUAUGUAUUAUGUGUGUAUGUAUGUAUCUUUGUGUGUGUAUGGUGUAUGUGUGUAUAUGUAUGUAUGUGUGUGUAUGUGUGUGUAUGUAUGUAUCUUUGUGUGUAUAUGUAUGUAUGUGUGUAUGUAUGUGUGUGUAUGUAUUAUGUGUGUAUGUAUGUAUCUUUGUGUGUAUAUGUAUGUAUGUAUGUAUGUGUGUGUGUGUAUGUAUGUAUGCAUGUGUGUACCAUGUUCUUUUCAUCAUUUGCAACUCUGUUCACCUCUGUUCACUCUGGGAACUCCCUUCUUGGUUUUCAGCCACAGAAACAUCUUCUAGUUUAUGAAUACUCUAUCCAACUGUUUACAACUGCUCUUAAAUUCAAAAUGAGAUCCAAAGCUUGAAAGACAUCAGAAUAUUUUUGAUCCUUCUACAAUCUGACUAAUCAGGGUUGUCUGUCUUCUUAGUGUCCUAAUAAAGCCGUCCUUUGACCUCAUCAAAAUGAUCCUCACCUUAGAUAUUGCAUAUGUACCUGUAGUUCUAAUGUUCAUGUUAUAUUAAACAUUUUAAAGUUGAUUUAAAAGUCUAUUUUGAGCAUAUUAUUCAGCUACUGCAAAAUCCAAGAGUGCUAUUUGUAACAAUGAUCGGCUUCAUUUUCUUCUCUUGGGCUUCAUGUAUUUUCAGUAGAUCUUAGACUGGCCUGACACUUUCUUUCCAUGGAUGGGCUAGAGACUUUUGAUAUGCUGUAUGUGAAUAUUUUUUUAUCUAAGGAGGCACUAAGAAGUUGCUGUAAAAAAAAAGAUACAAUCUUCCUAUGAGCAUUCAGAACCCAGAACAAGUGUCUCAGCUGAUAUAUUUCAGUGGAGAAAAAAGUAUCUUCCAUUAGAUACAACCUAACAGAGGCACAAGGCUUUGGGAUUAAGAGGUGACUGGAUUUUAGCAGUUGUAUGGGGUGCAACAAAAAGGCCUUUCAUCCUGGUCCACAUGCAGAUUGCCAUGUAUACAAGAUGGUUCACAAUGUCUAUAUGGAUUACAAUAUAUUUUUCCUGCAUGCCCUGACCCAUUUAGUCUGUCUAUAACCCAUCUAGAAGAUGUCAAAUCUGGUUCAUGUGUAUGUAACAUUUAAACAUGAUGUUACAUUUUCAUAGAACUAAAAAUGUAAAAAUACACCAAUCUUAAUUUUAAGGUAUUAACAGAAAUCAUAACUCAUUCUUAGAAAUGUUAUCUGAGGAAAUAAUGGACUAAUACAGAUAGGUAACAGUACAAUACCUACCUACCCAUUAAUUUAUAUAUUAACAUCUUUCAUUGACUCAAGUAAACAAUGCUAACAAGUCAGUAGGAUAAAAGUGACAGUUUUGUGGGUAAAAGGCAGAAGAAUCAUAAAGGACAAAAGUAAGAAAAUGUCCCUAGAGAGGAGUAGUUAAGACCCCAGCGCCCAGAGAAAAGACUACAGACUAUUGAUAAAUGCUGAGAGAAAGAAAAAUCAGUCUUCCCCAGAGAUGGAGCCCCUAGGUGUUAAUCAAUAUCAAGUGUUUAGCCCUAAAAAGGUAUACACAUGAGCAACAUUAAAGGGACUUAGCAGGUUGCGUUAUUCAUUCGCCUGCUUGUUUGUGUCACUUAUUUACAUAUCCAUUUGUUUAUGUGUACUAUAAUAACUUUUUAAAAAGUGCUCAUGCACUCAAGAGGGAGUGAGAAAGAUAAAAGAGGCUGCUGGGCAGGAAAGGGAGAGGGGGAAAUGAUUAAAAUAUAGUACACCAAAAGUUAAAAAUAAAUAGGACGACUACAUGAUUACCAUUACAAAUUCCUUCCUUUCCUCUCUUGUUCUUGUUAUAUAAGAUUAACUCAUAUAACUCUGGCCUCAAACUCAUCAUCCUCUUGCCUCAGCUUCCUAUGUGAUAUGAAUACAGGCAAACAAUACCAUGCCUAGCUUCUUUUCUAUAUAUUUAUAUAUCUUUUAAUUAAAGAAAUUGACAUACAAUUUAUUUUGAUCAUGUUCUUCUUACUCCUCCCAUUUCAAACCCACCUCCCUACCCUCCUACUUUCUUGUUCUCUCUCUCUCUCUCUCUCUCUCUCUCUCUCUCUCUCUCCCCCCCUCUCCUUCUCCCUUUUACUCUCCCUCUCCUUCUCCAUUUUCCUCUCCCUCUCCCUCUUCCUUUCCCUCUCCCUCUCCCUCUCCCUCUUCUUCUCCCUCUCUCAACAAAGUGAAAAAACGAACACAAAAAAACCCAAUGAGACAAAAUGAAAAUCAUGAAGUUUACUUUAUUACUUUAUGUUGGCCAACAAUUGGUUUUGGAGUCUUCCAAACAUACAUAAACACACAUACAUACACAUAUACACACAUACAUACAUAUGUAGGUGUGGAGUAUCACUGGGUGAUGAACACAUGGGCACUGGAAAAAAUUUCCUGAACAAAACACCAAUGGCUUAUGCUCUAAGAUCAAGAAUCGACAAAUGGGAUCUCAUAAAACUGCAAAGCUUCUGUAAGGCAAAGGACACUGUGGUUCAGACAAAACGGCAACCAACAGAUUGGGAAAAGAUCUUUACCAAUCCUACAACUGAUAGAGGCCUUAUAUCCAAAAUAUACAAAGAACUCAAGAAGUUAGACCGCAGGGAGACAAAUAACCCUAUUAAAAAUGGGGUUCAGAACUAAACAAAGAAUUCACAGCUGAGGAAUGCUGAAUGGCUGAGAAACACCUAGAGAAAUGUUCAACAUCUUUAGUCAUAAUGGAAAUGCAAAUCAAAACAACCCUGAGAUUUCACCUCACACCAGUGAAAAUGGCUAAGAUCAAAAACUCAGGUGACAGCAGGUGCUGGCAAGGAUGUGGAGAAAGAGGAACACCCCUCCAUUGUUGGUGGGAUUGCAGACUGGUAAAACCAUCCUGGAAAUCAGUCUGGAGGUUCCUCAGAAAAUUGGACAUUGAACUACCUGAGGAUCCAAGCUAUACCACUCUUGGGCAUAUACCCACAAGAUGCCCCAACAUAUAAAAAAGACACGUGCUCCACUAUGUUCAUCACAGCCUUAUUUAUAAUAGCCAGAAGCUGGAAAGAACCCAGAUGCCCUUCAACAGAGGAAUGGAUACAGAAAAUGUGGUACAUCUACACAAUGGAAUAUUACUCAGCUAUCAAAAACAAUGACUUUAUGAAAUUCAUAGAUGAAUGGUUGGAACUGGAAAAUAUCAUCCUGAGUGAGGUAACCCAAUCACAGAAAAACACACAUGGUAUGCACUCAUUGAUAUGUGGAUACUAGCCCAAAUGCUUGAGUUACCCUAGAUGCACAGAACACAUGAAACUCAAGAAGGAUGACCAAAAUGUGAAUGUUUCACUCCUUCUUUAAAAGGGGAAUAAGAAUACCCUUGGCAGGGAAGAGAGAGGCAAAGAUUAAAACAGAGACUGAAGGAACACCCAUUCAGAGCCUGCCCCACAUGUGGCCCAUACAUAUACAGCCACCCAAUUAGACAAGAUGGAUGAAGCAAAGAAGUGCAGGCUGACAGGGACUGGAUGUAGAUCUCUCCUAAGAGACACAGCCAGAAUACGGCAAAUACAUAGGCAAAUGCCAGCAACAAACCACUGAACUGAGAACGGGACCCCCAUUGAAGGAUUCAGAGAAAGGACUGAAAGAGCUUGAAGGAGCUCAUGACCCCUUAUGAACAACAAUGCCAAGCAACCAGAGCUUCCAGGGCUAAGCCACUACCUAAAGACUAUACAUGGACUGACCCUGGACUCUGACCUCAUAGGUAGCAAUGAAUAUCCUAGUAAGAGCACCAGUGGAAGGGGAAGCCCUUGGUCCUGCCAAGACUGAACCCCCAGUGAACGUGAUUGUUGGGGGGAGGGCAGCAAUGUGGGGACAGUGGGGAGGGGAACACCCAUAAAGAAGGGGAGGGGGGAUUAGGGGGAUGUUUGCCCGGAAACCGGGAAAGGGAAUAACAUUCGAAAUGUAAAUAAGAAAUACUCAAGUUAAUAAAAAAAACUGUUUUACACUUGCCCUUUGCAAUACUGGGAUUUUAUCUGGCUUAAAAAUCUACAGGCCGUGUAUAUGCUGCUAUAGUCUCUGUCAGUUCAAACACACGUCAGUCCUUUUGUACCUGGAAGACAAUGUUUCAUGGGUGCCCUUCACCACCUCUGGCUUUUACAGUUUUUCUCUCUCCUCUUCCACACAAGUCCUUGAUCUCUGAGAGGAAGCUUUUGAUGAAGGCAUAUCAUAAGACUGAGUGUUCUAAAGUAUUUUAUUCUCUACAUAUUGCCUAGUUGUGGGUCUCUGUGUUAAUUAAUUUCCAUCUACUUCAAGAAGAAGAUUAUUUGAUAUGCAUUGCUCAAUACACUGGUCUACAAGUCCAGCAAUAUGUCAUUAGGACUCAUUCAUAUCUACAAAUACAAAAGUAACUUAAUGGAGUCACCAUAUAAUGAGGGAGUCAUUGCCCCAAUAAGAUAUCUUAUGCCACAAAGUUAAACCUUCAUGCUAGGAAUUGGUUAUAUCUUAUUGAGUCACUGGACAAGAGGAUCUCCAAUAGACCUCCCAUUCAAACCUCACAGGAUAUUGGAAAAGUUUUUGGUUACCUUCCACAAUCUGAUGGGAAGGCCCUAUUGCUUAGGGCGACAAUUAUUUAUAUAAUCAAAUGUGGAGAAGUUGAGCAGGUGCCCAAGUAUAAGCUUUAUGCAUACUGACUGGAAGAUGUUCUGCCUGAAACUGGAGGAACGUUAACUAUCAGUUUCACACAGCUACAAAUGCUGUAACAAUGUAAUCCAUUAUGUAAACAAACUCAAAGCAAAAAAAAAAAAAAACCCACACAAUCAUUUCACUAGAUGGUGAGACAGCAUUUGACAAAAUUCAACACCCCUUCAUGAUAAAAGUCCUGGAAAUAUCAGGAAUUCAAGGCCCUUACCUAAACAUAGUAAAAGAAAUAUACAGCAAACUAGUAGCUAACAUUAAACUAAAUGGAGAGAAACUUGAAGCAAUCCCACUAAAAUCAGGGAUGAGACAAGGCUGCCCACUCUCUCCCUACUUAUUCAAUAUAGUACGUGAAGUACUAUCCAGAGCAAUAAGACAAUGAAAGGAGGUCAAAGGGAUACAAAUUGGAAAGGAAGAAGUUAAAAUAUCACUAUUUGCAGAUGAUAUGAUAGUAUACUUAAGUGACCCCAAAAAUUCCACCAGAGAACUUUUAAGCCUGAUAAACAACUUCAGCAAAGUGGCUGGGUAUAAAAUUAACUCAAACAAAUCAGUAGCCUUCCUCUACUUAAAGCAUAAGCAGCCUGAGAAAGAAAUUAGGGAAAUGACACCCUCCACAACAUAACAUAAAAUACCUCAGUGUGACUCUAACCAAACAAGUGAAAGAUCUGUAUGACAAGAACCUCAAGUCUCUGAAGAAAGAAAUUGAAGAAGACCUCAGAAGAUGGAAAGACCUCCCAUGCUCAUGGAUUCGCGGGAUUAAUACAGUAAAAAUGGCCAUUUUGCCAAAAGCAAUCUACAGAUUCAAUGCAAUCCCCAUCAAAAUUCCAAUCCAAUUCUCCAUAGAUUUAGAGCAGUUUGCAAAUUCAUUUGUAAUAACAAAAAAACCCAGGAUAGCAAAAACUAUCUGCAAUAAUGAAAGAACUUCUGGGGGAAUCACCAUCCCUGACAUCAAGCAGUAUUACAGAGCAAUAGUGAUAAAAACUGCAUGGUAUUGGUACAGAGACAGACAGAUAGACCAAUGGAACAGAACUGAAGACCCAGAAAUGAACCCACACACCUAUAGUCUCUUGAUCUUUGACAAAGGAGCUAAAACCAUCCAAUGGAAAAAAGAUAGCAUUUUCAAGAAAUGGUGCUAGUUCAACUGAAGGUCAGCAUGUAGAAGAACGAAAAUCGAUCCAUGCUUAUCACCCUGUACAAAGCUUAAGUCCAAGUGGAUCAAGGACCUCCACAUCAAACCAGAUACACUCAAACUAAUGGAAGAAAAUGAGGAAGAGCCUCAAACACAUGGGCAGUGGGGAAAAUUUCCUGAACAAAACCGUAAUGGCUUAUGCUCUAAGAUCAAGAAUAGACAAAUGGGAUCUCAUAAGACUGCAAAGCUUCUGUAAGGCAAAGGACACUGUUGUUAGGACAAAAUGGCAACCAACAGAUUGGGAAAAGAUCUUUACCAAUCCUCCAUUUGGUAGAAGGCUAAUAUCCAAAAUAUAUAGAGAGCUCAAGAAGUUAGACUCCAGAAAGCCAAAUAACCUUAUUAAAAUGGGGUACAGAGCUAAACAAAGAAUUCUCAGCUGAGGAAAAUUGAAUGCCUGAGAAGCACCUAAAGAAACGCUCAACAUCCUUUGUCAUCAGGGAAAUGCAAAUCAAAACAACCCUGAGAUUUCACCUCACACCAGUCAGAAUGGCUAAGAUCAAAAACUCAGGGGACAACAGAUGCUGGCAAGGAUGUGGAGAAACAGGAACACUCCUCCAUUGUUGGUGGGAUUGCAAACUGGUACAACCACUCUGGAAAUCAGUCUGGAGGUUCCUCAGAAAAUUGGACAUUGUCCUACCUGAGGACCCAGCUAUACCUCUCCUGGGCAUAUAUCCAAAAGAUGCUCCAACAUACAACAAAGACACAUGUUCCACUAUGUUCAUAGCAGCCUUAUUUAUAAUAGCUAGAAGGUGGAAACCCAGAUGCCCUUCAACAGAGGAAUGGAUACAGAAAAUGUGGUACAUCUACACAAUGAAGUACUACUCAGCUAUUAAAAACAAUGACUUCAUGAAAUUCAUAGGUAAAUGGAUUGAACUAGAAAAUAUCAUCCUGGCUGAGGUAACCCAAUUACAGAAAAACACACAUGAUAUGUAAUCACUGAUAAGUGCAAAUUAGUUCAAAAGCUCAAAUUACCCAAAAUACAAUCCACAGACCACAUGAACCUCAAGAAGAAGGACGGCCAAAGUGUGGAUGCUUCCCUCCUUCUUAAUAGGGGGAACAAAAAUAUUCAUAAGAGGGGUGUGGAGACAAAGUUUGGAGCAGAGAUUGAAGGAAUGGCCAUUCACAGCCUGCCCCACAUAUGGCCCAGAGAUAUAAAGCCACCAAAACUAAUGAUAAAGCUAAGAAGAGCAUGCUGACAGGAGCCAGAUAUAGAUGUCUCCUGAGAGGCACAGCCAGAGCACGUGAAAUAUAGAGGUGAAUGCUAGCAGCAAACCACUGAACUGAGAAAGAAUUAGAGAAAGGAGUGAAAGAGCUUGAGGGGCUUGCAACCCCAUCAGAACAAAAAUGCCAACCAACCAGAGCUCCCAGGGACUAAACCACUACCCAAAGACUAUACUUGGACUGACCCAUGGCUCAAACUGCAUAUGUAGAAGAGGAUGGCCUUGUUGGGCACCAAUGGAAGGAAAAACCCUUGGUCCUGCCAAGGUUGGAACCCCCCCCCAGUGUAGAGGAAUGUCGGAGGGGGAGCCGUGAAAGGGUGGAUGGGGAGGGGAACACACUUACAGAAGAGGGAAAGGGGAUGGGAUAGGAAGCUUAUGUCUGUUGAACUGGAAAAGGGAAUGACAUUUGAAAUGUAAAUAAAGAAAUAUCCAAUAAAAGAAAAAAAAAGAAAGAAAAUACCCUAUUUCAAAUAAGUGUGAAAGAAAACCCAAAGUAGUAGCUGGUCUUGAUCCUAUGGCUUUGUAUCUGUGUCAGAAUUAACUAAAUCCCAUGGGGCAAAUAUGGGCCUCAGACAUAUCACAUGUAAGAUGUCAUAGGACAAAUUGUUGCCUCUGGUAGGUCUGAUUCUUUCAUAAGUUACAAGUUUAAUCCAUGGCUCUUUUCAGAAACCUUGGUUAAUUUUUUGAAACUUACUUUUCUACACUAUACAUUAUUCAUAUUCCUGUCUGUCUUCAUUUCUUUCUUUUUAAAGUGAAUCGGAUUGAACCAAGGCUUCACAAGGAAACACUCUCACGCUGUUCUAAAUCUCUAGCCUUCAUCUUUCAUCCCUUUAAACUCAUAGCUGUAUAAUUUUCCUUGAAAAGUAGAUUUCAGAUUGUCUUAUUUCAUGUAUCUGUGUGUUUUCCUGUAUAUAUGGGUGUGGUACACAUUCAUGCCUGGUGCCUCUAGAGUUCAGAAGAGAAUGUCAGACACCCCUACUGGAGUUAUCGAGGAUUGUGAGCCACCAUGCACUGGGAGGUAAACCAUUCUCUUUUGCAAGAACAGUGAGAAUUCCUAACUGCUAAACUAUCUCUCUAGCCCUAUUGUAUGUAUUUUCUUUUUUGAAUAAUGCUACUCAUGGUAUAGCCUUGAGUUUAUUAUAUGACAGUUAAAAAUAAUCUUGUAAAACAAAUCCUAUAGCUGCUACAUUUUCCCAUACACAGUUUUCUAGUGCCACCAAGGAUUGUCAUUUAGAAAUAUAAGCUGAGAGGAGUUACCAUUUCUUCCACGAUCUACAUCUUGUGUGUGGAAGCUUUGCCUUUCCUAAAUGUGACGAUCUUUCUAUCUGCUACUUGGACAUGAGAUUUCAACUCUCAGCUUGUUGGCCAUAGUAGUCAUGUGGCUUCUUGGUGACAUGGAGAGAUGCCAAUGAAUGGGAAAAGCAUUCAAUGGGUAUAUCAAUUCUCUCAAAAUGACCAUUUUCCCUCCACAGGCCCCCAUACUGAGUUUCAGCUGGAGUCCACUUUACACGGAUCCUUGAGAUAUUUACGUGCACUCUCUAAUCUUUUUCUCAUUGGUAUAACAAAAUAAUCAAACAAUAAAUGACUUAACCAAGGAAAGAUUAGCGUUGGCUUACAGUCUCAGAGUAGAAUCAGAGCGGAACAUAUGACAGCACAGGACAGAGAUAGGUGACCACAUUGUAUGUACUCCCCUUCCCCCCACUUCUCUGCAGUCUGAGAGUCAAGCCAUGAUAUGAUGACACUAAUCUUUAGGGUGGCCUUUCUUUCCAAAGUUAAGUAUUUACUUGGUGUACUAAGAAUCAAACAUUGUAAUAGAAAUCUUAGUACCAAUUCCUGGCUCUGGAUUUUCAUAUAACUGGGUCCUUAUGGGUCUGAUUUAUGGGCUUUCUAUUUCCUUAUGCAGACUUUGUUCACAUUGGAUUAUGGCCCACUCUGAUGAUCUCAUCUUAACUUGAUUUUAUCUACAAAGAUCAUAUUUCCAAAUAAAGUCAUUCAUUAGUAUCAAGGACUCAUGAGUAAAGUACUCUACCAUGAUGUUGGGCAGUGACAGCAAGCCACAGAUAUCAUCAGUUUAUUCAUGAAGAUAAAUAACUGAAACUCCAUACCAUGUACCAUGGUAUCAACUAUGACGGUAGGUAGACUAGAUGUAUCAAGUGCAUUGGGACUUGCCACAUUUCCAGCUUUUAGUAGACUUAUUGAAUGCCUUCAUCUUCAGUGAAAACAUCUCAAUACUAUAUGCACUGUAAUGGUUCAAAGUACAAUAUUUUGAACAUUAUCAUGCACAGUAUCUUAGGAUUUCAUGGCUGUGAAGAACCACUAUGGCCAAGACUAGUCUUAUAAAUGAAAUGUUUAAUUUGGGAUGUUUCAGAGUUUUACUCCAUUAUCCUCACAGUGGGAAGCAUGACAGCAUACAGGCUGACAGGGUACUGGAGAUGGAAUUGAGAGUUCUACAUCUUGAUCCUCAGACAGUCAAAGAGACUGUGCAUCAUGCUAAGCAUAGGUUGAUCAUAGGAGACCUCCAAACCUGCCCUCAUGGUGGCAACAUUUUCUCAAACAAGGCCACAUCUAUUAAUAGGGAAACUCCUUGUGGUCCAAGCAUUCAAAGACCUAAGUCUCAGGGCCAUCCUGAUAAAACUACCAGGUAAAUGAUUAUGGGUUAAGUAGUUGAUAUACUGUAUGUACAUUUCACAAUUAUAACAUGAGCUUUAUGUACAUUUCACAAUUAUAACAUGAGCUUUGAGCUAUCUAUCAGCAACUAUACCAGAAUCUGGAUGUAUAGGAAAGGAUUAUAUAAAUUCAGCCACCUAUCCUGCACUCCAGGUGGCUUGCACACCCAUGACUAUGUCUCAUAAAUAUUAGAGAAAUAAUUGUGAAAACAUAAUAGCAAGGGCUAGAAAGAUGUCUCAGUCAUUAAGAGUACUGGUUCCUCUGGCAUAGGCCCUGAGUUGUACUUCCAGUACCCAUGCAGUGACUCACAAGCAUGCGUAACUCUAGUUCCAGAAGAUUAGACCCCAGUUUUUGGCUUCUACAAGCAAGCACCAGGCACUUACAUGGUAUACAGAUAUACAUGCAGACAAAGCACUCAGACACAUAGAAAAGUUUAUUGCUUAUAAAAGCAAAUAAAAGAAUAAGCCCAGAAUGCAAAUGAGUAAAAGAAAAAUUAUAUAAAUUAUGGUACACAUAAAUGUAUCUGUGUGUAUAUAAAUAAGAAAGAAAAUGUAGUUAAUAGAACACAGGGCUUGUGGUUCAUCCUGAAGAUGCUGGGGACCUGAGAAUAUGUAGCUCUUACAAGGACAAGACUGAACAAUAUAUAAAGUAACAGUUACCACUGAUUGUAUCAGAAGUGAGGCUGAAAAGCAAACAAGAAAACCAGGGGAUGUAGGAUGCUCACUGAAAGAGAAGCAGGACAGCUACUGACUUGAGGGCAGGUAUUAUAGGACACAGUAAGAACAACAUUUGUUGAAAAUGUCCCUGUAUUCCUGGAUCCAGAGCUUAGCUAGUGUGUGGGUGUGGGCUAGACCAGGGCUUUAGAUGUAGCAGAAAUUUACACUGGUUAUUUCUUUAAAAAUAUGUCCUGGAUUCAUAACAGGGGAAAAAUCAUAAACACUCCUACCUUAUAAACUCUCAAGGUUACCGAAUGGAAGGGCAUUGGGGGCAUAUUCUAGGGACGGGCAGAGAUAAGUUCUUGUGGGAGCAUUCUAUCACAAAAAUGGCAAAUAGGUGAAGGCCUCUUCCCCAGAAAAAUCCACUCUGUGUGUGUGUGUGUGUGUGUGUGUGUGUGUGUGUGUGUGUGUGUGUGUGUGUUGAAGCUUAGCCAGAAAUCAGGAGAGUGGUUUUCUCUCAUAAUCCAUCACGCUUCCAGUCAGCACACAGAAGGAUCAGUGAUAUGUAUCAGGGGGUGGGGAAGAAGAAACAAACCCUCUGAGGAGCAUCACCGUGGAGCAUGGCGGACAAGGAAUGGAUAGCAGACGUUACACUAUUACAAUUAUCUCUGGAAAAUGGACCCAUUUGCUAAACACGUGGAGUCAUUAUAAGAACUUAGUGGCUAUUUUACACCGAGGAUAUCUAUAACAUGAUACUUGAAACCGGUCCUAUUCCUGAUUACAAUAACAUGUUCUUCACACUGAGGGCUUUGUAUCCAAAGUCAUGAUCACACUGAGACGUAGACAUUAUUUAACUCUCUAUGUUAUCUCCUCUUCAGCACAGUCACCUUUGGACAGGAACAAGAAUUACACAGCGUAUGAAGCAAAGGAAAAGAAAUCCAGGAUCCCAAAAUUCAAUCUGGUGGUCAUUAGAGCCUGACCCAGAUAUGACACAAAUGUUAAAAACGCCAUACAGAAAAUUUAAAAUGUUGAACUUUUGGGUGAAAAAGUAGAAAAAAAAAACUGCAAGACCAGACAGGUAAUGUUAGCAGAGGAGUUUGAACAAAGGAAAAAGAUAGAAAAAAGUGUUAACACAAGAAACACAGUAAUAGAGGGCAACUCUCUGAAAAGCUCAUUGAUGUAAUGCAUGCAGCUGUACAAAGGAGUGAACUUACCUAUAUGUUAGUAGAUUUUGAAUAGCCUGAAGCUCAGAAAGAAAAAAAAAUACUAGAGACGUCAGAUGGGCAGAAUUCUCCUGUCAGAGCUUAAGUAUCCAUCCCUGUGUACAAUGGACACUCACGGGGCAAGUCCCACUAAAACUUGGAACUGAGCUAAAAGGCAAGCCUUCGAAUGUAUGAGUGAAUUUAGCUCUCUCAAAGAUGUAUAUUGUAAUGGCAGUAAGCAGACCGGGGACCAUGCUUCUGCAUUGUAUAGGCCGGUGACAGUGAUGUCUUCUGUCUCCUGAUGAAUGUGCUUACAUUCGACAGUGUUAGAGUAAAAACUUAAGACCCAAUACUAUUUAUCUCCCAUGCAAAUGUCUAUUUAUUUUGGGAGUUUUUCUGAUGUCAUAGUUCUGUGUUCUUGUGUAUGACUCCUAAGGUCCUCAGAGACUCUGAAGCUCUAGUUUUCUUGUAUGGUACUGAGGUAACCAAUGCCUGGUAGCAUCUUAUAGCUUCAGUACCCACACGGGUCACUGAAAAACAAACAGCCUUAGAGGUUUGGAAUUGCUAACUUUUACUCUCCUCCAGAAAGAGAGGGGGAUGCUAGACAUUUAAGUGAUGAGCAAUGGCCAAAGAUCUAGUGAAUUGUGUUCAUGAGAUGACGUAAUGAGUUUCCCUUCAAUCCUCCCCAAGGUAGAGUGCGGACCUCUCUAAGAGAGCAGCACAUGGAGGUUCCAAGGGGGUAAUGCACCUUCUUAUAUACUUUCCCUCAGGGCAUCAACCGAUAAAUGUAAGAAAGCCUUUCGCUGAGCCACGUGAAUAAAUUAACUGAACCUGAGAGUCGUGAUAAUUCAAUUUAUAGCCAGAGGGACAGAAACACAGGUAAAGAGUGUCUGAGGCUUUUCACCAGCACUUGGGUGGUACAGCAAAUUUGGUGAUGGAACCCUCAGUCUACUGGAUCCUGGCCUCUUUCCAGGUUGGUAACAUUAUCACUGAGUUGAAAUAAAGGACACACAGCUUCUCGGUGGGGUGAAUGUCUCACAGCUUCUAUCAGCAGUGAAAAUGCAGUAAGGGAUACUGAGUCUGCCUCUGGUCUAUUCUGUUUAAACUUACAGAUCACAUAUGUGUAAGUUAAUAUUUUUUUGUGUGUGUGUCACCACAAAGAAAGAGAAGUUAGUGAGUGUAUUCAUUAAACUCAAAGGAUUCUACUAUUCUCUGUUGCAGAAAACUUGUACAAUUAGAAAAACCUUAGGGGGAAAAAUACUCUGUAGUGAUUAAAUACUAAAAACUAAGAACUUUUGUGGGGGAUGGUCAUGUGGUAUGUGAGUGUGUGUGUGUGUGUGUGUGUGUGUGUGAAGCUAUAACCAAAUCUGAGGAAUCUAAAAGGGCACAUGCAUGUUCAUGGAUGUUCUUAUACCAAGAAAAAGACCUUAAAUGAUCCCGAUCUCUCAUAUCAGAUUAACGUUGAAGCUCUGUGCAAAUGCACGGUAAAAGCUCUCACAGUUAUAAAUUACUACAGGAACCAUAAGGGCACAACCCAGUGUUAAGACUGACAAACACAGUCAGAUGCUCUCCGUUUAAAAAUGACCACAGAUUGUUGAUAAUUUCAUUCCCAUAAAUUCUACAAAUUAGUUGAACUAGACUCUCUUUGGAAGACACCAAGUGUCAAAGUUCCUCACCCAGGAGGAGGAGUAGAUGCUGACAUUUCCCUGCACUUUUACAGGAUGAGAUUUUUCAGGUAAAAUAUUGCUGGGAAUGAAAUCCAGGCAGACAGAGGUAGACCAUACUAAAUAAUUAGGAAAAGAGUCACAGUUCUUGGUACUGUUACUCCAAAAGUAGGAGGAGAGAAACCACUUCCCAACUCCAUUUAAAAUUCAUCAUUAUGGAUGCAAAUGAAUCUCCAAAAUAUUUGAAAGUCAACUAAGCAGCAAAUGAAAGUGUUAAUGAACCACAACCAUUCCAGGUCUAUCACAGCGGCCUAAAGGUGCUGUUUUAGCUUUUUUUUUUCACUGUGAGAAAAUAAUCUAUAGAAAUGAGUGAUAAAAGAUUAUUUUUUGGCUCACGGCUUUCCAGUCAGUGGUAGCCUGGAUCCAUUGUUUUGGGUGGGGUCAAAGUUGAGGCAAAAAUAUGAUGAGAGGGAGUGACAGUGGUGUGUGUGUGUAUGCGUGUGUGUGUGUAUCUCUGCAUGUGUGUGUAUGAAUGUGUGGUGUGUACAUGAGUAUGUGGAUGUGUGUGUGUGAGUGUGUGUAUAUGUGUGAGUGUGUAUAUGCAUGUGUGUAUUGUGUGUAUCUCUGCAUAUGAAUGUGAGUGUAUGAGUGUCUGUAUGUGAGUAUGUGUGUGUGUAUUAGUUGAUGUGUGUGUGUGUGUGUUAGUUGGGGUGUGUGUGUGUGUAUGUGUGUUUGUGUGUGUGUAUGUGUGUUCAAGGUUAAGAUGCAUGUUUCCAGACAACCCCUUCUUUUAGAUAUGCCCUACCUCCUAGUUUUCCCUAUCUCCCAAUAAUUUCAAACUAGGAGUUUGAGUGAAUUAAUCUAUCAAUUAUGUCACAGCCCUCAUGAUCCUGCCACUUGCCACAGGCCCUAACUCUGAACACUGCUUGCAUUGGGACCAAGCUUCAGUAAAGGAAUCUUUUGAAGACAUUUCAUACCCUAAGUACAGUCAUGGCUUUAACAUUUAAACAUUUACAGAGCAAUUCCCAUAGCAAAGGGCUAACUAAAAUCAAACAAAUGAGCUCAUCAACAUGUAUGGGAAACUCUGAACAUGCUUAAACACUGAUUUACACAAUAACCAGUAAAUUCUCAGUGUGCUGAGAAUGUAGGGAGUCUCCUAAGUGUCUUAACUUUAUACAGGGCAUUUUCAAAAGCUUGGGCUAGGAGACCCUCCAUUCCACACAGGAUGCCUUUCCUAAGGACAAAUAUAUAUUCUCUAUGCUACCAUUGAAUGUCAUAAUUGAAAUAAAUUAAUAAAUAAGAUAAAAAAGAAAAGAGCCACACAAACAUAAAAAGUUUUUUCUACCCACAUGUAGAAAAUUUGUUACAUGCUACUACAUGUAACAAAUCCACACCUACAAAAUGUCUCUAUAACUUAGCAAACUGUAAAGAUGUCCCUAUAACUUACAGCAAGCUGUGAAGGAUUCCAUCUGGAAUCUCAUCAUCUCCCCACAGAGCAGCAAUAAGCAACUAGAAUUUAAAACAAAUAUAACCUGUGACUGCAGUAAAAGUUAAUGAAAUAUUUAUUGUCAUGGUUAAGUUUGUGUUGCUGUAACAAAAUACCUGAGUAUAAUGCACUUGAAAGCAGAGAGGUUUAUCUUGGCUUUUGGAUUUUUGUCUUUCCUAAGACAGAACACCAUGCCUAAGACCUGCCAUCCACUCAGCAGGAAGCCUUCAGCGACUUAACUUCUUCUGCUGGGCCCUACAUCUUGAAGCGAACCACCACCAGUAGGGCUGUGUGGCUGGCAACCAAGACUUUAGCAUAUGGGCCUUUUAGAGAUAUGUGAAAUACAAACUCUGACACUCCAGUAAAGAAAUAAGACAAUAUAAUGCAUGCAAGGUCUGUAUGUGAAAAGCUAUGACAUGUUGGUAUAAGAGAUAAGAUUCAAACAAAGGGGAACAUACCAUGCCUGGAGGUUGGGAACCCAAUGGAAAUGCCUUGUCACUUGAUAGCGCUUAAUUAAUUGUUUCUAUGAUGUCGCUCUAAAACCGGGUUAGCACUUCAGUGCCAACUCACGCUUCGACUUAGCACAGCAGCUGUGUAGACAUUUUGUUAUGGAUUUGAUGGAAAUCUAGACACACAGAUCAGUGGAACAGGGCAGAAAGUUCCAAAAUUGAUCCAAGCUGGUACAAUUAAUUACAUUUUCAGCAAGACAAUUCAAUAGAAGAGUAACAUUUUCAUACAGUAAAAAAGAAAAUAUCAACCUCAACACUUUACACAAAAGUUAAUUCAAAUGGAUCAUAGGCCUGAACAGAAAUACAAUGAAAUAUUAUCUCCCUGCUCACAAAGGAGAAAUGCUGCAUAUCAGAUUUGACACAAGCUGUAAGAAAAAUGCAUAAAUUAUUAUUGAUCCAAAUCAAAUAUCUUUACUCUGAUACUAAUAAGGAUAUCUGAAAAAGAAAAUAUCCUGUGUCUAAUAAUUUAUAAUUAUAAUGUUAAUGUAUAAUUAUAAAUAUAGUUUAUAAUAUAAUCACCCUUUAAUCUGAAUGUCCCACUCCUUGUUAAGGGGAUAUCACUGGUGGAAACAUUUGGCUUGCUGUAGAAAUCAGCACUCUAACUCCUAUUAAGUUAUUUAAAAUGAACCAACAACAUCUUAUAGUCACACAAAAUGUGGAGAUGAAUGGAUUUUAGCUUUGUUCAUGACAGCAGAAUUCUAAAAAUAACCCAGGUUCUCUUUCACAAAUGUGGGUAUGUUAGUUUCUUUCCCUGUUGAUGUGAUAGUACACUCUGGCGUAGCAACUUAAGGGAGAAAAGGCUUGUUUUGGGUCUCAGUCUAUCACGGCAGGGAAACGGGCAGCUAGAGCUUGAAGUAACUAAUAACAUCACAUCUGCAAUCAGGACACACAGAGAGAUGAAUGCUAGCACUUGGCUAGCCUUCUCCAUUUACAAAGCCCAAGAUGACAGUCCUGCCUGCAAUGGCUCAGUGGUUAAGAGCACUGGCUACUCUUCCAGAGGUCCUGAGUUCAAUUCUCAGCAACCACGUGGUGGCUCACACCCAUCUGUAAUGGGGAUCCAAUGCCCUCUUCUGGUGUGUCUGAAGACAGCAACAGUGUAUUCACAUACAUAAAAUAAAUAACUUAAAAAAAAAAAAGACUGGUUUUCCCCAUCACUUAACAUAAUAAAGAUAGUCUGUCAUUGGUGUGUCAGGACACCUGUGUCUCUGGUGAGCCUAGAUUCUGUCAAAUGAACAACUGAUGCAUUCUGACAGCAUCAAAAAGCAGCCUUUAAGCCGACUUUAAGAAAUAAUGUUCCUUGGCAGAUUUGCAGCUUGGUCUUCAUGUGGGUCCUGAACAAUCGGAACUGGGCUAUCCCAAAACUGUUGCCUCUAUGUGGGAUGUGUUCUA